rnacentral:lncRNA from 1 species
AGAUAGAUGAAAUAAGUCCUUAGACAACUUUCUGUUAGAGAUUCUUCCCUCCAGUAUAUUGCACUCAGCUCAGGUGCUUAAGAAGCUCUCAUCUUAAGACAUGUAAAUAUACAUUUAACUUCCUUAAGAAGUAGUUAUCGGUUCAGUAAACUAGUCACUGCAGAAGCUAAUUGGGCUUCUGUAUAUCUAAAACUGAUGAUUUUUUUCUGAAUCGUUGGUUGUCCAUUUAUUUGCCUUCAGUAUUAAGCUAAUGCAGGUAAAGUUUAGUAAGUCAUUGGAGAAAGAGGAAAUUAUUACUUUUACAAAAGAAAAAGCAACUGGUUGUUACCCAAACAGUAUAAAAGUUCAAUUUUUUCAUAAAGAUGAACUUAAAAUUUUCUCUGAUUGAUAUAUGAAAAUAAACCAAUUUUUAGAGGAACUUAUUCACAAAUAAC